AUUGAACGCUGGCGGCAGGCUUAACACAUGCAAGUCGAGCGGAGAUGAGGUGCUUGCACCUUAUCUUAGCGGCGGACGGGUGAGUAAUGCUUAGGAAUCUGCCUAUUAGUGGGGGACAACAUUCCGAAAGGAAUGCUAAUACCGCAUACGUCCUACGGGAGAAAGCAGGGGAUCUUCGGACCUUGCGCUAAUAGAUGAGCCUAAGUCGGAUUAGCUAGUUGGUGGGGUAAAGGCCUACCAAGGCGAAGAUCUGUAGCGGGGAUGAGAGGAUGAGACGGCACACUGGGACUGAGACACGGUCCAGACUCCUACGGGAGGCAGCAGUGGGGAAUAUUGGACAAUGGGGGAAACCCUGAUCCAGCCAUGCCGCGUGUGUGAAGAAGGCCUUAUGGUUGUAAAGCACUUUAAGCGAGGAGGAGGCUACUGAGACUAAUACUCUUGGAUAGUGGACGUUACUCGCAGAAUAAGCACCGGCUAACUCUGUGCCAGCAGCCGCAGUAA
rnacentral:rRNA from 1 species